rnacentral:rRNA from 1 species
UACGAAGGGGGCGAGCGUUGUUCGGAAUUACUGGGCGUAAAGGGCGCGUAGGCGGCGACCCAAGUCAGAUGUGAAAGUCCUGGGCUUAACCUGGGGACUGCAUUUGAUACUGGGUUGCUUGAAUUCGGGAGAGGAUAGCGGAAUUCCCAGUGUAGAGGUGAAAUUCGUAGAUAUUGGGAAGAAUACCGGUGGCGAAGGCGGCUAUCUGGACCGACAUUGACGCUGAGGCGCGAAAGCGUGGGGAGCAAACAGG